ACGGACACUGAGAGACAGCGAGGGAUAGAGAGGGAAAUAGUUAGAUGGCAAUGUAGCAAUGUAACCUGAUCCUUGGCAAACAUUGUAUUUUCAAGUAUAUCCAGUCGAUCAACAUUCAUCCCUGAAGUUUCAUCUGGGUUCACUCACACAUUUCAGAUAUCGUUUUCAUUCAGUCAAAACCUGAACUUCAGAAAGGCUCUGGCACGUCACCUUAAAUGAACCUAUGUCAUAUACGGGAGUGGCCAGCGGAAAUAUCACCAGUUUCACUUCUUUCACGGUCAUCUUUUCAGUUGUCCUUACAACUCUGAAAACACGGCGACAAUUUCCAAGAGAGGACACAGUACUGUAUCUCCUGCUUCACCGAGGUUGUUAAAGGAAGAGGAAAAGGCUUCAGAACUGAACGAACACAGAUCUUCUACAGACCGAGAGACGAGAUCAGAAAGCGGACACACAGCUCCAGAGUGGUAGUAUACAAACAGUCAAAGGAAAUCUAGUUGCCACAUCUAGAAAUGGCAGAGGUAAAACAACUGAACAUAUUGCCCCCCCUCAUCCCCUACCCUGAGGGGAUGACAGAUGAAAAGGAAAAGAAAAUAUAUAAAAAAAAGAUUUUGAAGGGAAAGCCAGAGACUUUAUAUCGUGAUGAAAGAAAACAGGCUCCAUGCGACCUCAUUUUCUACACAACAAAUGUUUCUACAUGGGAAGAGGAAAUACUGAAACACUAUCCUGAGGGAAAACAGUGGGAUGAAAGAUCUAAGGAAUAUUUCAAACAACUGAAAACGAAGGCAGGCACUAUAAAUGUGUAUUAUACUACUGGGACAAUCAUGGUGCAGGAUAAUAGUGAGACGUUAAUGAUAUUCCCAAAUGAUUUCCCAGCCUUGAGAGAGAGAGUGAGAAAGAGCGUCAGGACGACAGAGGAUGUCUUGAAGAAAAUGGCAGAGCUAGGCAUUGAGGAAAGAGGAGAGGAGAGGAAAAGAGAGAGCAAGGACAUAAAAGUGGAAGACAUAAAACAGGAAGCCAUAAAGGGGGAAAUUAAGGAAGAGGUGGAAGGAGGAAAAGGGAAGCCCUGAACAUUCCAGGGCAGAUCAGAAGAGAAACAUUAUUUUACGGGAUGUAUAAUUUGACGAACAGUUAUAAUAAAGCCUGCUGUUCCUCUCACCUUAUUAUUUGAAUGUUGUAUCUUUUACCUUUUGUUUGUUUUUUAUUGAGCUUGUAUGAAAAAUGCAUUCAUAAGUGCUCACCAUCAUCAUUAUCUUGUUUUGGUUAUAGUUUCACUUUCCCAAUGAUAAAGGUGCUUAAAGCAAAAAGGUGGUGGUCCCUGUGAAUUUCCCCAGCAAUAUGUGUUUCAUAUUGUUUCAAAAUGUGUGCUCUAAAAUGUAUCAAGAUUUUUUAAAUGCACUUCAAAUAAAGUUUGAUUUAACAAGUGUCAGGAGUCAGGACGUACUAUAUGUACAGUACCCUGCCCCCAUAUCCCAAUUUUUGCCACCUGUAAGUGAGAAACCUACAUGACAAGUACUGACCGUGUAUUGUGUUCCCUAUGGUUAAAGAACAGAGCAGAAGCGCUGAACUCUGUUCAGAACUCAGACCUACAGGUUAUGGAACAUUUGCUCUUUUAGUAUUUCUGCAGUAUGUUUCCUCAAGGAGAAGGCUUCCCACUUCUAUGUCAAAGAUAAUGCAACAAAAACACUUUAGUGAAUACUACAGUAAUGUGCCCAAAAACACAACAGUAAUUACUAUAGUGUAUAUAUACACACACUACUCUUUUUUACACAGCAUUUAUACUAUAGUAUACUGCAGUAAAUACAACCGUAUUGUUGGAUUCUGUGUUUUACAUUAUAGCCAUUACCAUAUAUAUGAUUGAAUAUUAUCUGCUGUUGGCUUGUGUGUUUGUAUGUGUUAUGCAACAUAGCUGACUUGAAACAUUGUUAACAGCUUCAAGGCCAUGGGCCUUUCACAUGAUGGAAAAAUACAGAGUAGCAUGCAGACAGGAACUGUGCAAUGAGUUGGGGGGCACAUUCAGAGCGGGGUGUUGCGAGAACAAGCGGUCUUUUGUUAGAUAACAGGAGCCAGGUACGAGAUAGAUAGGUACGCAUAGAUAUUCUUCACAGCAAGUUACAUCUAUCAACUGGAGCGCCCUGGGGCUGGUACCAGCUCGUACGAAAACAAUCAAUAAUAGGCUGGGUGAGUCUAAAUCACGCCCAUUCUCUACGAACACUGUUUACAUACAUCUUGUCAGUUCUCUGUUCUGCCCUGCGUGGUAUUACAGUGAGCCCGUAUAUACGAAAGUUGCAUUUCCCAUUUAUUACUUAGCUAAUAAAAAAUACAUAGUAUACAAUCGCUGACUCAUUGUUAUAUUUAUCCUGAUACCAGAUUCGAAUUUACGCAACUCUAACAGUAUUCACUGUAGUGUUUCUGCAGACUCCAGUCCGCAAAAAACACUACGGUGAAAUGGAGAACAGACAAAAAUGAGUGUCCCCUUGCCGGAGAGGUGAGUCCCUGGAUGACUCUUUUCCAGUCGCUAGUGAAAGUCUACACACACCUUGCACUGUCUGCACUGUCCUGCCUGAAGGAAUUAUCUGUGUAGGUCACACUACUUCUCAAAAGCGCAUCGACUGUUUUUCCAAACAGUGAGUGUCGAAGGGGCACUGGCACUCUGGAUCAGAUCAAAUGGUGUUUGUCACGUGCCGACUUUAGAGUGAAACGUUUACUUACAAGCCGGGAAACCAUUUGAUUAAAGAGUGACUGUCCCUGUAAAGCAAGUAAAGCUUUGAAAACAGCUUAUGUGGCAUCGAUAUGAGUCAGAAACCUUUUGACUACAAAGGGGCCUCCUGCGUGGCGCAAUGGUGUAAGGCACUGCUACAGUGCUAUAGGUGUCACUACAGACCCGGAUUUGAUCCCGAUCCAGCAGGAAGGACAGGCACUAACAACCAUCUUGGUUAACUGUGGGUGACAGUCCUUCUCUGUCCUUCUCUGUACCAAAUACGGUUUAGCCAUGAUAAUGCUGUUAGCUCGGAGAUUACCCCUCAGCCUCUGCUGGGUAGGACCAUUGUCCUCUGGUCUGAUGGAACAAUAAUAUAACUUUUUGGCCAUAAUGACCAUUGUUACAGUGGGGCAAAAAAGUAUUUCAUCAGCCACCAAUUGUGCAAGUUCUCCCACUUAAAAAGAUGAGGCAUGUAUUUUUCCUCAUAUGUACACUUCAACUAUGACAGACAAAAUGAGGGAAAAAAAUCCAGAAAAUCAAAUUGUAGGAUUUGUAAUGAAUUUAUUUGCAAAUUAUGGUGGAAAAUACGUAUUUGGUCACCUACAAACAAGCAAGAUUUCUGGCUCUCACAGACCUGUAACUUCUUCUUUAAGAGGCUCCUCUGUCAUCCACUCGUUACCUAUAUUAAUGGCACCUGUUUGAACUUGUUAUCAGUAUAAAAGACACCUGUCCACAACCGCAAACAUUCACACUCCAAACUCCACUAUGGUCAAGACCAAAGAGCUGUCAAAGGACACCAGAAACAAAAUUGUAGACCUGCACCAGGCUGGGAAGACUGAAUCUGCAAUAGGUAAGCAGCUUGGUUUGACCUGCAUGGAGGAAUGGGCCAAAAUACCAGCAACAGUGUGUGAAAACCUUGUGAAGACUUACAGAAAACGUUUGACCUCUGUCAUUGCCAACAAAGGGUAUAUAACAAAGUAUUGAGAAACUUUUGUUAUUGACAAAAUACUUAUUUUCCACCAUAAUUUGCAGUAAAUUCAUUACAAAUCCUACAAUGUGAUUUUCUGGUUUUUUUUCUUAUUUUGUUUGUCAUAGUUGAAGUGUACCUAUGAUGAAAAUUACAGGCCUCUCAUCUUUUUAAAUGGGAGAACUUGCACAAUUGGUGGCUGACUAAAUACUUUUUUUGCCCCACUGUAUGUUUGGAGGAAAAAGAGGGAUGCUUGCAAGCCGAGGAACACCAUCCCAACCGUGAAGCUGGGGGUGGCAGAAUCAUGUUGUGGGGGUGCUUUGCUGCAGGAGGAGCUGGUGCACUUCACAAAAUAGAUGGCAUCAUGAGGACGGAAAAUUAUGUGGAUAUAUUAAAGCAACAUCAAGACAUCAAUCAGGAGUAAGAGUUUGCGUACUCCGGCCAACAUGUUCAUUAUUAACCUGGCGUUAACAGACUUCCUCAUGUGUGUGACUCAGACCCCCAUCUUCUUCAUCAACAGCAUGCAUAACAGGUGGAUCUUUGGAGAAAAAGGCUGGCAAUCAGUAAGUACAUCCCAUGUAUGGGUGUGUUCCUACCAGAGAUCGUUAUAGCAGCUUCAUGUGCUCCACCCGUCGUUCAUCCCUCACCAGUACAUCUGACCCUUGCAAUACUGGCAAGUGCCGCUUCUCCUCCCUGUACAACAGGCCUUACGGAGGCGGAACUCUCCUCUCGUCCGGCCAGUCGUCAGGUGUCUAGUGAUGUCACCCAGCUCCACCCUACCUUCUCUCAGAGGUCAAAAGUUCAUUGUUCCCUGAAGGUGAAAAGUCGCGACUCAGGGGUGUUUGAGAAAACCGCCUCUCAGUCCCCCUUUGACCCUGCUUUCUUCUGCUUGCAACACAUCACUAGCCAGAGGACAUCUCCAUAUCUGAAGUCAUUGGUUUUACCAUUGUCCUUCCUGCUACUCUGGAAGAUGUCAGAAAGGAAAAGUCUAAAGACAUAAGUGGGCGUGUCCCUUCCACAUGCCUAAACGACGCGAUCCCUGCCAUCAUCGUCACCUCUAUGGAAAUCCCCUAAAUGGGUGGGGUCUGUUGUGAGAGAACUGCUGGAUGUUGUGCAAUUGGACAAUGUAUGACACAGCUCUGUGUGUCGUUUCUCUCCUCCUCUAAAGGGCUCUACACUGCCAGCAUGGUAUCUAGUGUCUGUGUGUGUGUAACAGUAUUGCUUCCAUCCCGCUCCUCGCCCCAACUUGGGCUUAAACCAGGGACCCUCUGAACACAUCAUCAACAGUCACCCAAGAAGCAUGGUUACCUAUCGCUCCACAAAAGCUGCUGCUCCUUGCAGAGCAAGGGAAACAACUAAUUCAAGGUCUCAGAGCGAGUGACGUCACCGAUUUAAACACUAGUAGCACAGACUGCUAACUAGCUAGCCAAUUCACACCGUGUGUGUUUUGUAUUUGUGGAUUUAGAGACGUUUUCCAUUGAGCUGUAGAAAACACAAUCUGAAAACAGUUUCAGUCGGUGACUUUCCUUUUUAUGUUUUUAAACAUGGAGGAUUGUCAAUGUUUUCCUCUCCACAUUCUCUCCCUCCUCCUUUUCCCUCCCUCCUCCCGCACUUUCUCUCUCCUCCCUCCUGAAUUUAUUUACACAAAGUGUCUGUAGGCUAUUUCUCUCCUCCUCCCUGAAGAAUACACCGUUGGAGUUUCUUUUUACAAUAUUCAUUCUUAUUUUUUAUGGUUCUACAUUUCAAGGGAAAUGGCAGAAUGGGUCAUUGUCUAUUGCUUAUCACCAUUUAGACCUGUCACCUAAGUGUGUGGGGGGGGGGGGUUAGGGGAGAAGUUUCUACUGUAUAUGGUCCUAACCCAGUGCCCCAGACAGCACCAUAUUGAUAAGAUAAUAAAGAUAUUGUAAGUGUAUGUGAUAAGGUGAGUGUGUACUCAAUUGUUUUAAUCGUCAUUUCGGCACCAUACACGGCCCUGCCCCAAUUUAAAUGGCACCCUAUUCCCUAGUGUACUACUUUUAACAGCCCUAUGUAGGGAACAGGGUAUUAUUUGGGACAGUGUAUUUCUCUGCUGCGCGUCGACUCUAUGGUUGUAAAGGAUCUCUCUGGUGUGCAAAUACAGAUUUAGUUGUGGUUCUGAAUGUUGAUGAGCUGAUUGAUUUGUAAAGUCUUAUAUCGAUGAACUGAUUGAUUUAUGUCUUGUAUUGAGGAAAAUAACAACUUUUCAGCUGUUAUGUCAUUGAAAUAUUUCUCAAAACCUUUGUUCUAAAUUAGGUGAGGGUUUAUUGUAGAUUUGUGAUGGAUGUGUGAAACAGUUUGUUUGAGUUAUUUUUAUGUCAUUUUCUAAACAAAUGCAUUACUGGCAGCUGUGUUUUGUUAUCUGGUUGGUUAUGGACUAUGUACCAUCAGCAGCCUAUGUGAGUGUUGUGAGAAGUUGGAUAGAAAAUAAAAGUUUGCUGAUGUGGGA